GUGAUUUCUCUAUUCUCACCUUUUCUGUGAGGCCGAGUAUCUGGAGCAGGAUUUGCCAUCCCAUGCGCAGUAUGGAUCCCUGGCCAGACAGCAGUCAGCACAGACUUCCCCAUACACAUCACAGCGAUGGAGAGCUAGUUCCAGGUCGAGGGUAGGGGAUCUUCCCAGUGUAAGCCACCCACUGGUAGUUGGGCCCUUCCUUGUGGGCAAACGGCCCAUUGAAGACCAUCCGGAUGUCAGCCAUGGAGUAAACGCACACGGCCGAGCCUUUAAACACAGACCUGGAGGAGGGCAGGAGGGACAAGGCCUUUAUGGUCCUCCUCUCCCUCAGAGAAGCACUGAACGCUCUCUCUUCAGUUGGCCUCACCAUCUGAAUGUACUCCGCUGUCUCCCAGGAGCCAUCGUACAACCACUCUGAAGCUCUGCUGGGCUCCAUCAGGACCAGCAGGCCAGACAGUCUGUGGUUGUGGGAACAGCGACCACAGAGCUGUGGGAUGUUACACUGCACCUCAGGACUCACAAUGACCUCACCACGAGUGUUCAUCUGCACUGAGGCCACCAGUGACCUGCUGUACUGAUGGACCACUGAAGUACAGCAACAGACACCACAGUGCUUUUCUGUCACGGACUCUGAGUGCUCUUUAGGCAAAACAAACAUUUGUAAAGCCUCAUCACAGCAUGAUUAGGAGUUUUUCCUAUAGAUUCAGCUCAUGGCUGUGUUCACUGUACAGCUGUUAAUAGAAAUGUUUUGAAUCAUCUGCCACAACAUUAAAACCACUGACAGGUGAAGUGAUUAACAUUUAUUCCCUCAUUAUAAUGGCAUUUGUCAGUGGGUGGGAAACAUUUGGCAGCA